UCUCCUCCACAUUUGCUUCUACAUUGAUUUCUCCUCCACAAUUCCUCUCCAUUAAUCUCCAUGUCUCCUCAAAUUUCUCUUCAAUGUUGCUGUCCAGAUAAUACAAAUUAGAGGUUUUAUUUCAAAGUAAAACAAUUUGGGCAGAAUUCUACAAAAGUGGACAUAGUGGUCAGAAAUUAGAGAGAAGAAGAAGAGGUGUAGAAUACAACUCAGGAAUGGAAGAAAAUAGAAAUAAUGUGUCUGCCCAAGAAAGAACUUCUGAGAGAAAUUUGCGUCGUCGUACCAGAUAUGCACAGAUGUAACCAGAGAGAAAGCAAUUAUUUUUAUCCGAGCUAAGAGAAAAAAGGGCUGAGUCAAAAAGACAAAAACACCUUCAUCAAUCAAAUACUACUGCCGCUCUUACAAUCAGUAGUUCUUCAUUAUCUCCUCAGGAAGUUGAAGCUUCUGAACCCACAAACCUCCCAGUUACUUUAACUACAGGACAACAUCAAUCAAAUAGUACUGGCGCCCUUACAAUCAACACUUCUUCAUUAUCUCCUCAACAAGAGGACAGUUCAUGUUGUAUGCGCCAAGAUUCAACUAUGGAGACAAGCAAUCAUUUAUUUGUUGAAUGUGAAUAUGCUACAAAAGUAAGAGAUACAGUAACUCAAUGGAUAAAAGUCUGUCUACCUACAAGAGGUUUCAAGGAAACAGUAGAAAUGAUCAAGAUAAAACAUUGGAAGAGUUUGAAGAAGCAAGUGAUAGCAGCUG